GUGGAGAAACAAAUAAAAAAAAGAAAGCUACUGACAAACUUUGUAGAAAAUUCAGAUGAUAGUGAUGACAACAAUUAUCCACACGAUUCCAAUGAAGAGUUGUCCAAGUUCCCCACUCAUCCAAAAGCGCUCAGCAAAC